ensembl:ncRNA C18B12.15 ncRNA
AUAAAUAAUGCUGAUUCGACAUUUGAAAGUGGUUAUGAAGGGCGACGCCGAGGUUAUGGUAGUAGGAGGCGGGCGGUUCGUCGGCAUGCUGUGAAUCGCCGCAGCUCCAGCGACGAGCAAGCUGUGGUCCCAGAUUGCGCGGCGGGU